GAGGAAUCAGCAGGGAGCUGCAGGCAGGCCUGUUGGGUACAGAUGCUGCUCUACACACCGGCUGCUGAGCUGGGAUGAUAUAUUUGUGCAUGCCGUUGUUGUGAGCAAACCUUUCGAAAAUACAGCAGUGAUCCCAGUGCUUUUGAAUGAGGCUGCUGGAUGCUCUAGAUCAGCUUACAUCAGACCCCAUCUGCCAGGAUCACAUGCUGGUCCUGACCAACAGUGAGAGCAGAGGCAUGAAGCAAAGAUGUCCAGAUAUUUGCCAAGAUAUCAGCAUUUUUCCGGAAUGCUUCAGGUACAAAAGGACAACAACAACAAAAAAUUACUGCCUUACAGGCAUAAGUACAAGGCCAAAUUCCACCUCUUGUUUAGCUGAGCAGUUGCCAGCACAGCCAGCUGGGGGAAGGGAGAAGCCUAGCAAGACGGAUGGAAAGGUGAGUGAUGAAGGUCUUGAACAAUGACCUCUAGCUUUGUCUGUAGUAAAUGACCAAGUGCUUUGGCACUCUUUACAUGAAUAUGCCUAACCUCAGAGGAUCUUUGCAGUAAAUGUUGUCCCUCUGAUUCUUCUGUAUGGUAAAAUUAAAAUUAACAAGAAAACAUUCACAGAAAUGACAAUUGAACACGGAUGUACCAAUCACAGGGCUGAUCAAGGAGUUUUCUGAGGCAUGAUGGAAUGAUCAAGGAGCUCUCUGAUGUCAGAGCUGGAACGUGUCCUUUCCCUACCAUUCAUGGAAGAGAAAAAAGCUAUCAUCGUAAUAAUUUUAUUGCAUUCUGUGCUCCACUUUAAUCACUAAUUGCCCCUUUAUAGCAACCACUUUUUUUUUUUUUUUUUUUUUUUUUAAUGAGACCACCUUCAGGCUUGCUCUUGAUUCUGCUGAUGAGCUUUUAAAGGGGGAACUGUAACUGCCUAUUUGCCUUGAGCUGAUGCAUUUAGGUUGGAAGUUAAAC
ensembl:lncRNA